UACGCCUCCUCGAAAGCAGAGUUAAACCUUUUGAAACACUCUGCCACUUCGUGAAUCGUCAUCCCUAUACCUAAAUUCUCCGGCAACGAAGAGAAAACCUUGUUCCACCUCAUGCGCUCGUAAUUUUGUGCGUACUGUUUCACCUUGGCCUCGUGUUUCUCGAUCCAAUUCUCGCCGAUGAGGAAUUUCAGGCUUGAUUUGCGGACUUUGUUAACCACGUACUGGAGAUUAUUAGCGAG
rnacentral:misc_RNA from 1 species